rnacentral:rRNA from 1 species
AGUGAACGCUGGCGGUAGGCCUAACACAUGCAAGUCGAACGGCAGCACAGAGGAGCUUGCUCCUUGGGUGGCGAGUGGCGGACGGGUGAGGAAUACAUCGGAAUCUACUCUGUCGUGGGGGAUAACGUAGGGAAACUUACGCUAAUACCGCAUACGACCUACGGGUGAAAGCAGGGGACCUUCGGGCCUUGCGCGAUUGAAUGAGCCGAUGUCGGAUUAGCUAGUUGGCGGGGUAAAGGCCCACCAAGGCGACGAUCCGUAGCUGGUCUGAGAGGAUGACCAGCCACACUGGAACUGAGACACGGUCCAGACUCCUACGGGAGGCAGCAGUGGGGAAUAUUGGACAAUGGGCGCAAGCCUGAUCCAGCCAUACCGCGUGGGUGAAGAAGGCCUUCGGGUUGUAAAGCCCUUUUGUUGGGAAAGAAAUCCAGCUGGCUAAUACCCGGUUGGGAUGACGGUACCCAAAGAAUGAGCACCGGCUAACUUCGUGCCAGCCGCCGCAGUAA